GCAAGUAUCCACUCACUAUCCUAAUGAGUAUACCAUAUCCGAUCUCAUACAUGGUGUAUAUGAUAGAACAAAUUCUACUCAUAAACAUCCUAUGUAUGUUGGACUGAAAAACUUAAGCAGCCUCUUAGAUCUAUCUCUAUAGAUCUUCAUCCCUAAGAUGAGGGAUGCUUUUCUCAAGUCCUUUAUGGAGAACAAUAAUAACAGAAAAACCUUUAUUCCCUGUAAUGUAAGGAAUGUCAUUCUCAAUUAAGAAAAUUUCAUUC
rnacentral:lncRNA from 1 species